rnacentral:rRNA from 1 species
AGGACGAACGCUGGCGGCGCGCCUAAUGCAUGCAAGUCGAGCGACGCAUACCGGAGGGGUAACCCAUCGGUAUGACGGAGCGGCGAACGGGUGAGUAACACGUGAGCAACCUGCCCCACAGACCGGGAUAGCCCAGGGAAACUUGGAUUAAUACCGGAUAUUCUCGAGGAACCACAUGGCUUCUUUGAGGAAAUGCCUUUGCGCUGUGGGAUGGGCUCGC